GGAGGAGUCUGAUGCUCUAAAUGGAAGCUGCCCAAGAGGAGCCCCUACACUGCAUCGCCUGUUGCCACAUCUACGUAACAAUCAGACGUGUGUGAUCCGCUUGCCCGAGGGAGGAAGAACAGAGUGGGCAGGAGAAAGAGGAGGCAAGGUCAUAAACCCAGGAUUAGGAUGAGGCAUCUUGAAGACAGUGAAGAUGUGGAUGGGUAUUGAGGAGGAAAGGAGACGGCGCUGCCCAGGGAUGUGAGCCAACUGAUCACUCACAAUUUCCGUGUUCGUUUACGACUUCAGAGAUUACAGCACCUGCAUGGAAGGGUCAUUCAAAACGGAUGUGACAAUAUUCAGGCAGAAGGAUCAGAAGAGCUCCAGUCAGAUCAGGUAACAAAGUUCUCUAUUGUGUGGCAGGCACAAGACCAAAAAAGAAUCCUAAGCCUGAAGUACCACUCCAUCGCGGGGUUAGAUUCCUCACCUUGCCAACGUCUGGUUCCUGGUUUCUGCAAGAGUGGAAAUGCUGUACAAUGUAGCUAACCAGUCCACAGAUCUCGAAGACAACUAGGUUGAAAACUAAAGUUGAGAUGCCCAUUAGGCAAUUAAUUCCACAGAUCUCACUUUCAAGAGCAAAACUGAAGCUGGAGAGAAAAGUGGGAAUCAUCAGCACUCGAGUCCUGGCAGUUCCAACCACAGAAGGGAGGGAGAUAACGCAAGACAGUAGAAAGUGGGAAAAGGUCUUACGGCUUUUGUGAG